AGAGUUUGAUCCUGGCUCAGGACGAACGCUGGCGGCGCGCCUAACACAUGCAAGUCGAACGGAGCUUAGAGAGCUUGCUUUUUAAGCUUAGUGGCGAACGGGUGAGUAACGCGUGAGUAACCUGCCCUAGAGUGGGGGACAACAGUUGGAAACGACUGCUAAUACCGCAUAAGCCCACGGUACCGCAUGGUACUGAGGGAAAAGGAUUUAUUCGCUUUAGGAUGGACUCGCGUCCAAUUAGCUAGUUGGUGAGGUAACGGCCCACCAAGGCGACGAUUGGUAGCCGGACUGAGAGGUUGAACGGCCACAUUGGGACUGAGACACGGCCCAGACUCCUACGGGAGGCAGCAGUGGGGGAUAUUGCACAAUGGGGGAAACCCUGAUGCAGCGACGCCGCGUGGAGGAAGAAGGUUUUCGGAUUGUAAACUCCUGUCGUUAGGGACGAUAAUGACGGUACCUAACAAGAAAGCACCGGCUAACUACGUGCCAGCAGCCGCGGUAAAACGUAGGGUGCAAGCGUUGUCCGGAAUUACUGGGUGUAAAGGGAGCGCAGGCGGGAAGACAAGUUGGAAGUGAAAACCAUGGGCUCAACCCAUGAAUUGCUUUCAAAACUGUUUUUCUUGAGUAGUGCAGAGGUAGAUGGAAUUCCCGGUGUAGCGGUGGAAUGCGUAGAUAUCGGGAGGAACACCAGUGGCGAAGGCGGUCUACUGGGCACCAACUGACGCUGAGGCUCGAAAGCAUGGGUAGCAAACAGGAUUAGAUACCCUGGUAGUCCAUGCCGUAAACGAUGAUUACUAGGUGUUGGGGGAUUGGCCCCCUCAGUGCCGCAGUUAACACAAUAAGUAAUCCACCUGGGGAGUACGACCGCAAGGUUGAAACUCAAAGGAAUUGACGGGGGCCCGCACAAGCAGUGGAGUAUGUGGUUUAAUUCGAAGCAACGCGAAGAACCUUACCAGGUCUUGACAUCCGAUGCUAAGCACAGAGAUGUGUGAAAUCCUUCGGGACAUCGAGACAGGUGGGGCAUGGUUGCCGCCACUCCGUGCCGGGAAAUGUGGGUUAAGUCCCGCAACGAGCGAACCCUUAUUGCCAGUAAUACUUUAAGAGGACUCUGGGGAACUUGCGUUUAAAAAACGGAGAAAGGGGGGGAAGACGCCAAACCUCUUGCCCUUUAUGACCGGGGUCAACCCCGUUCACAAAGGGGGUUAACAAAGAGAAGAAAAACCCGCGGGGGGCAAAACCUAAAAACAAGUUCUGUUUAAAUUGGGGGCGCACUCCCCUGCAUGAAGUCGGAAUUGCUAGUAAUCGCGGAUCAGCAUGCCGCGGUGAAUACGUUCCCGGGCCUUGUACACACCGCCCGUC
rnacentral:rRNA from 1 species